AGAUAAAGGAAAUGCUCUGUAACUGCAUUGCACAAUAUAAUACUUGCCAGACAUACGUUAUUACAGAAUACUUGAAAUGUGGCCAUUACUACUGAGAUAUGAAGUUUAACUACCUAACUGUAUUACUUUAAGUUUUAUAGUCACACGUGGUUGGUAGUUACUAUUAGCACAGAUCUAAGAUUUUAGGGUAGGAAGCUAAAAUAACUCUAUUAAGUGUUUGGAUAGGACAGAUGUCUAAAGAGAGACAGAACUCCCAUAAUUUUAAGGAAUGAGGCCAGUUCACAUCUCACUGGAGAAAUCACAGGACUCAAGAGUUGGAGGAGAUGAGAUGGUGAAGCCAAACAGUUUCUCUGGCAAGUUCCAAGAGACGCAGACUGAAAUAUUAAUGGAAGAAAUGAUAUGUCUACAAUGUGCUUCAAAAUAACACAUUAAUGGCGAAAGCAGUUGGCACAGAAAUGGCCACAGGUCUUCAGUUAAAGAGAAAUCAUUCUCAAGAAACCAUAUCCAAGGAACCUCAACAGCAUAUGGAUCUGACUUAGAUGGUGAGGAUACUAGAUCCUGAGUUGGUAUCAUGAUAGGAUGUAAAUUACAGGUCUCUGAGAAGGGGGUUAGUGUAUUUUGCAUGUAUUCUGCAUGUGAGGCUUGUGAAGUAUGGCAAAAAAAAAAAAGGGGGGGGGGGCAAACUAUGGCAAGAGUUUUGUUCAGAGACAGCCAUAACAAGAUUUCCCAUCUCACAUUCUAGUCCCCAACCUUUAAAUUACCCCCAACCAGCAAGUCUUCCUGAGGUUCUAGACAUUAUGGAAUAAAAACAAGGCAUU